rnacentral:rRNA from 1 species
AGUGAACGCUGGCGGUAGGCCUAACACAUGCAAGUCGAACGGCAGCACAGUAAGAGCUUGCUCUUACGGGUGGCGAGUGGCGGACGGGUGAGGAAUACAUCGGAAUCUACUUUUUCGUGGGUGAUAACGUAGGGAAACUUACGCUAAUACCGCAUACGACCUACGGGUGAAAGCAGUGGAUCUUCGGACCUUGCGCGAUUGAAUUAGCCGAUGUCGGAUUAGCUAGUUGGCGGGGUAAAGGCCCACCAAGGCGACGAUCCGUAGCUGGUCUGAGAGGAUGAUCAGCCACACUGGAACUGAGACACGGUCCAGACUCCUACGGGAGGCAGCAGUGGGGAAUAUUGGACAAUGGGCGCAAGCCUGAUCCAGCCAUACCGCGUGGGUGAAGAAGGCCUUCGGGUUGUAAAGCCCUUUUGUUGGGAAAGAAAAGCAGCAGGUUAAUACCCCGCUGUUCUGACGGUACCCAAAGAAUAAGCACCGGCUAACUUCGUG